CGGCGUUCGCGCGCCGGCUCCGGCCGCUCCGGCGCAUGCGCGGUUCCCGGGAGCAGCGUGGCGGCGCGCAGGGCGCGGGUCUCGGCGGCAGCGGGCGAGCGCCGGGACUGCGGAGGCCACGCUGUGGGUGCGGUUGUCCGUUCGUCCCCUGGGGAUGCCGUUGACUGCAGCAGCCUCAGGCUUGCAUGGGCUGUCUCUGCCUGGCCUCCCUCUCCUUGCGGCGCGGGAGCACAGAGGGACAGGCGGAGCGCUUACUGGCUGUGGACAGGAGCUGCUGAAGCUGACGUUGAAGCUGGAGAGGCCACAGAAUGGUAAAGCUGCUGAAGAAUAAAAUAAAGAGGAUCCAGCCACCAGCUGCAGACAGGAGAUAGCCUGCCUCUCCAGGUGGAUGACAGUCAAGUGAGUGCAGCUACGGAGGAGGAAGGGAGAGGGAGAGAGAGACAGACAUGUCUGAACUGUCAAAUUCUCCCAGCAGCUCCAACAGCGGGAGCCUGCAGUGAAGACCAUGGUGACACAGGCUGUCCCCCUGCAGCCCACGGAGGUCCAUGGCGGAGCAGAUAUGCACCCUGCAGCCGAUGGAGGA